GCUGCAUUGGGCAGCACUGUAUGGGGAGGAGGUGAGCAGCCCUCAGUGCUGAAAGAACAGGUUAAGGACUAUUUAGAAAAACUGGACGUGCACAAGUCCAUGGGGCUGGAUGCAAUGAAUCCAAGGGUGCUGAGGGAGUUGGCUGAUGUGAUUGCAGAACCAUUGGCCAUUAUUUCUGAAAAUUCGUGAUGAUCGGGGGACAUCCCGGACAAUUGGAAAAAGGCAAAUAUAGUGCCCAUCUUUAAAAAAGGGAAGAAGGAAAAUCCAGGGAACUACAGCCUCACCUCAAUCCCCGGCAAAAUCAUGGAGCAGCUCCUCAAAGAAUCCAUUUUGAAGCACUUGGAGGAGAGGAAGCUGAUCAGGAACAGUCAAAAUGGAUUCACCAAGGGUAAUGUGACACCAUUGUGCUCAGACCCGCUGGUAUUUGAAGGCACCAUGUAAAGGAUACCAGUCAGAUGCUGUUGCAGGCACCCAGAAAAAGAUCAGAAACAAAGUGAAAAAGAAGGUCAAAAUACCUCCAACUGAUACACCCAAUUCCUGCAGACACAUCAACUAGUGCCACCCAGUGGAACAGGGUUCAGAAGAGGAGGGAGUAGUAAGGAAACGAAAUACUGCUUACAUUUUUAAAGCAUGAUCUGAGAAAUUCCAAGAACAUUCAUCUGAAUGCUGUGGCAGGAAAGGACUUCUGACGAACAGUUUAUAAUUCCCAUAGGAGGUAUUCAACUUUAAUUCAUAUGAAUAGUCAACCUGAUAAGUAUAGGAUGACCAGUGCUCAG